rnacentral:ncRNA from 2 species
AUAGAUCUUCGGGGCAGGGUGAGAUUCCCUACUGGCAGUGAUGCAGCGAAAGCUGAUAGGUCUGCGACCCAUGCAAUGCAUGGCUGAACCGGUCAGAAUCCGGUACCAACAGUUACAGUCUGGAUGAAAGAAGAGAAAA